GACGAACCGUGCGAACGUUGUUCGGAAUCACUGGGCUUAAAGGGCGCGUAGGCGGGCUGCCAAGUCUGUGGUGAAAUCCUCCGGCUCAACCGGAGAACGGCCUCGGAUACUGGCGGUCUCGAGGGAGGUAGGGGCGUGCGGAACUAAGGGUGGAGCGGUGAAAUGCGUUGAUAUCCUUAGGAACUCCGGUGGCGAAGGCGGCACGCUGGACCUUUUCUGACGCUGAGGCGCGAAAGCCAGGGGAGCAAACGGG
rnacentral:rRNA from 1 species